rnacentral:lncRNA from 1 species
ACCCAGAUGUUCGCAUAGCCUGCCCCUUAACUUCCUUCAGAUCUGUACUGAUCUUCUUAGUGAGAUUUCAGAUACAUUCUUUUGGUCCCAGCCUUCUCCCUUUUAUUCCUCGUCCAGUAUGAAAUAGUAUUAUCUCACUUAUCCGGCUUGUCUGUCGAUUGUUUGUCCCAUUAGAAAAUAAAUUCCAGGAGGGUUGAGCAUUUUGUUCACUGCCGUAUCUCUAGUCCUAGAAUGGUAUCUGACAGUGGGGGCUGCUCACCCUCUCCUUGCUGAGUGGGUUACUGUGGCUCCUUCCCUACUACCAAGACCAUGGUUGAGGGCCUCAUCACUUCUCACAUCAAUUGCUGCACUUGCCUCCCAGCAGACUUCUAGAUGAUCUUUCUAAACAUGAUCUUUCUAAAGCUCAAAGCAGCUCUGUGGUCAUAUCUUACUCCUGCUUAAAAUUCCUGUCUUGCCGUCAUCUUCAAGGUAAAGUCAAUAUUUCUUAUCAUGACACCCAAGGCUCUGCUUAAAUCUCUGACCUCAUUGCAGCCUUUCAGUCACUUGUACUUAAGUGCUUUCCCCCUCAUUUUGUUCCCAGAUUUUUGUGCCUGAAAUGCCUAUCUGAAUAACUGGCUCCUCCUUGAUGAUUUAGCCUAAGGCUCUUUCCUGUAUGUUUCACCUUAUUCCCUUUAGUCUGGAUUAAAUGUUCUUCUCCCAUAGCAACCAUGCCUGUCUUUGCUGUAGCAUUUAUACAUUAUGUAAUGUCUUUAAAUGUAUGUGUCUUACUCACUAGACUUCAGACUUCCUGAACUCUUAAAAUGUGUUGAAUAUAUGAAGCUCUUGGAGUUCCCAUCAUGGCUCAGUGGUAAAGAACCCAACUGAUAUCCAUGAGGAUGCUGGUUUGAUCCCUGGCCUUGCUCAAAAAAAAAAGUAUAUAUAUAUGUAAAAGCUCUAAGACAAAGAAUAAAGGGGCUUUAGAUAGUAGCUUUAAAAAAUAGUUCUGACUUAGUUAUAAAAGCCACAGAAGACAUUUCCUUAAUCAGGUCUCCUUCUGUACACCUGGUAAUAUAUACAGAGAGCAGCAACCAAGUAGGUACCCCUUCUAGGAUCAAGUCUUGGAGUGAAAUGAUGUUGCUGGAAUUGGUGAAUGCACAGGGAGUAUUAUGCCACAUGUUUGCUUCAAAGUUCUAAAUAUUGAUAAAGGAAUUUUGAGGAAGGAAUUUUGCUCAUCUUUAUCCCAUCUUUGAAGGCUCUGGAGAAACUGGCCACAAUUAAAUAAUUUUAAUGUCAUUAAAUAGGUCAUUAAAUAGGUAAGUUAAAGAAGGUAAUGUAGAUUUUUUGACCCAUUAUCUUGUUAUACGAUGAACUAAGUGUUUACUCAUGAAGAACACGUUUUUCACCGAGAUUCACAACUCUUGACUUUUUGGAGCUUUUGUUCUUGAUUCCAACUAUCCAAAUUGGUCAUUUACACCACCACCCUAGUUUAUCCCUGUGUGAUUUAAAAAUUAUCAGUUAUCAGAGUUCCUGUCAGAGCUCAGUGGAAACGAAUCUGACUGGUAUCCAUGAGGAUGCAGGUUCAGUUCCUGGCCUUGCUCAGUAGGUUACGGAUCCAGCAUUGCUGUGACUGUGGCUAGGCCGGUGGCUACAGCUCAAUUUGACCUCUAGCCUGGGAAUCACCAUAUGCAACAGGUGCGGCCCUAAAAAGACAAUAAAUAAAUAAAAUUGUCAUUUAUCUACUGAUUUAUUAAUUUAGGCUCUCAUGUUUUUAUUAAACCCAUAUACAUGAGAAACUUUAUCGCUAGAGUAAAUUGAAAAAUUCAAUUUUGUGCUAUAUUUUUAAAAGACAGUGUAUGUUCCUGUAAUUGAUAAUACUUCUUUCAAUUGUUUAAUUGUUUAAAGAAAAUAAUCCCUUCCUGAUAUGUCUCACAUAAAGCAACUAAUGCUUAUAAAUAUUUUUAAGUAAUGCAACCCAUUAUGAUAAAAAUGUUUUGGGAAAUAGACGGUGUAGAAAAGAUUUUUACAAAUAUAGAUCUAACCUGGUUUAUAGGUGUUCUCCAAAGAUAUCAGAUCUUUUUUUUUUUGGCUUCUUUAGUUAACAUACUCACUAGAGAAGUCCCAAACGACCUACCUUAAUACUAGAUUCUACUUUGUAGUGAGCUGGCCAGGGGUCCAGUAGAGCUUGAUCUCAGCAGUACAGAAAUCAGGUUACAGUUUAGGCAGUUAAUUAUUUUGCUUCCUCAGUUAUGUGCUAGUAGCCAUAAAUAUAAGUAUUGAAAAUUAAUUUUAACAUGUUAAUUUAAAAAAUAAACUCUCAUCCAUAAAGCCAGUAUUUAAAGAAGAUUGUUAUAAAUAUAAGCCAUUAUAUAGAAGAUACACAAACGUGAGAAGGUACUCAGUGGUUAAUUGAAGCCCUUCUUUGCUGUUCUGUGAAUAUUUGUUAACAAAUAUUUGUGACUUUCAUGUUUCAAUCAAAUCACCCUUUUUCUUCUCAAGUAGGUACAUUGUACUUCUUUGUGGUUACCCCGCAUUUGAGGGGUAAGUUAGCAGAUCUUUAAUUCAUGUCUCCACAUAUCUGCUUCAUUCAUACCUGUGAUGGAAAGAAGUGUAUAGGAACAAAUCUUAGCUAUCAUUAUUUUAUUGAUGAUCCAAGAAUUUACUUAUUAGCCUCCAUGCGAAGUUGUGGGGUUCAGUAAUCAUACAUUAUUGUGCUGGAGAAACAUGCUUUGCUUAAUUAUUGAUGCAAAUGUCCUUUGGAAAAAGGUGUUUUAAAGAUGUAUAGGGCAUAUAUUUUGUACUCAGGGUAAUCAUUCUCUGUGUUGUUUAAGCAAAUAAGCUAGUUUAAAUAAGCCCAUAAUGAGUUUUUAAUUUAUAGAGAAAUGAAUCAGUAGGGCAGAGAAAGGUGCAAAGUCUUAGAAGAAUUUGCCUUGUGUAAUAAUUGAAGAAUCACUUGAGUAAAAUCCCCCACUGAACUAGCUUUUGUUGGGCAAAAGAAUGCAAUUAUAUUAAAAAUUAAUACUUCAGUGUAAUAUGAAACCAACGCUGCCUGAAUUAUUAUGUGCCAAAUUAGGUUGCUGUAAACAAUAACAAAAUGGGUGACUGUGCAAAUGAAAGCACUGAGUUAUUUAAACUUGCAGUAGCAUGUUUAAUGAGAUGCAGUGAAAGCAGAAAAUGUUUAAUUUAGUAACGGGUGACCUGAAUCAAUCUGUCCUACAGAGUGACAGGCUUUGGAUUAAUUUUCAGUUAAAACAAAAUAACUGAAUAACCACCCCUAUUAAUGUAUAAUACGGGCCAUUUCAUAUUAUUCUUUUUUAGUCAGAGAAAUGGCAUCUUUCAUUGGGAAUUAUUAUGUGUUCCAUGUGAAACCCUGCCAACCAAAUUAAGUCUUGCUUGUUUUUUUCCUUCGGGAAUCUGAGAAUGCUUUGUGUUCCUUUCUGGUUGGAUCAUUUUAAGAUCAUAAUCUAAUAAGCACAUUGAAGGGAAAACUUGUUUUGGUAUUUGGAAUAUAAUUGUGUAAGUUUAUUCUACUUUUAUAAGUUAUAGGUAGUUUAAGAUGACUGAAAUGAUGGACCCAUAUUGAGAAAGUUCUCUGGAGCUGAAAAGAAUUUGUGGUCAUCUUUGUAUUCCUUGUUCAUUUAUUUAUUUUAGGGCCCUACCCAUGGUAUGUGGAAGUUUCCAGGCCAGGGGUCCAAUCAGAGCUGCAGGUGCUGGCCUACACCACAGCCCCAGCAACUUGGGAUCAGAGCAGCAUCUGCUGCCUAUGCCACCGCUCAUGGUGAUGCCGGAUCCCUAUCCCUCUGAGCGGGAACAGGGAUGGUACCCAUGUCCACAUGGGUACUAGUUAGUUUCAUUAUGGCUGAGCCAGCAUAGUAACUCCCCAGAUAUUUUUUUAAGUGCCUGAAACUGCUUCUUGCCCUUGUGUUUUCCAUCUUUUAGAGUCAUCACAGUUCAGGUAUUUUGAAAACGUCUUUCUCAGAGGGUGUGAAUUCAGUGUAUGAAAAUUUAUUUGGGCAACCGAGGGCAGAGAGUUGAAUUAUUGAAGUGUCACUUUGCAUCACUUGAGAGAUAUUCAGUUUUAUUUGUUUCCUGUGAUAGAGAAGACCACUUUACAAUUUUAC